GGUUAAGCGACUAAGCGUACACGGUGGAUGCCCUGGCAGUCAGAGGCGAUGAAGGACGUGCUAAUCUGCGAUAAGCGUCGGUAAGGUGAUAUGAACCGUUAUAACCGGCGAUUUCCGAAUGGGGAAACCCAGUGUGAUUCGUCACACUAUCAUUAACUGAAUCCAUAGGUUAAUGAGGCGAACCGGGGGAACUGAAACAUCUAAGUACCCCGAGGAAAAGAAAUCAACCGAGAUUCCCCCAGUAGCGGCGAGCGAACGGGGAGCAGCCCAGAGCCUGAAUCAGUGUGUGUGUUAGUGGAAGCGUCUGGAAAGGCGCGCGAUACAGGGUGACAGCCCCGUACACAAAAAUGCACAUGCUGUGAGCUCGAUGAGUAGGGCGGGACACGUGGUAUCCUGUCUGAAUAUGGGGGACCAUCCUCCAAGGCUAAAUACUCCUGACUGACCGAUAGUGAACCAGUACCGUGAGGGAAAGGCGAAAAGAACCCCGGCGAGGGGAGUGAAAAAGAACCUGAAACCGUGUACGUACAAGCAGUGGGAGCACGCUUAGGCGUGUGACUGCGUACCUUUUGUAUAAUGGGUCAGCGACUUAUAUUCUGUAGCAAGGUUAACCGAAUAGGGGAGCCGAAGGGAAACCGAGUCUUAACUGGGCGUUAAGUUGCAGGGUAUAGACCCGAAACCCGGUGAUCUAGCCAUGGGCAGGUUGAAGGUUGGGUAACACUAACUGGAGGACCGAACCGACUAAUGUUGAAAAAAUUAGCGGAUGACUUGUGGCUGGGGGUGAAAGGCCAAUCAAACCGGGAGAUAGCUGGUUCUCCCCGAAAGCUAUUUAGGUAGCGCCUCGUGAACUCAUCUCCGGGGGUAGAGCACUGUUUCGGCAAGGGGGUCAUCCCGACUUACCAACCCGAUGCAAACUGCGAAUACCGGAGAAUGUUAUCACGGGAGACACACGGCGGGUGCUAACGUCCGUCGUGAAGAGGGAAACAACCCAGACCGCCAGCUAAGGUCCCAAAGUCAUGGUUAAGUGGGAAACGAUGUGGGAAGGCCCAGACAGCCAGGAUGUUGGCUUAGAAGCAGCCAUCAUUUAAAGAAAGCGUAAUAGCUCACUGGUCGAGUCGGCCUGCGCGGAAGAUGUAACGGGGCUAAACCAUGCACCGAAGCUGCGGCAGCGACGCUUAUGCGUUGUUGGGUAGGGGAGCGUUCUGUAAGCCUGUGAAGGUGUGCUGUGAGGCAUGCUGGAGGUAUCAGAAGUGCGAAUGCUGACAUAAGUAACGAUAAAGCGGGUGAAAAGCCCGCUCGCCGGAAGACCAAGGGUUCCUGUCCAACGUUAAUCGGGGCAGGGUGAGUCGACCCCUAAGGCGAGGCCGAAAGGCGUAGUCGAUGGGAAACAGGUUAAUAUUCCUGUACUUGGUGUUACUGCGAAGGGGGGACGGAGAAGGCUAUGUUGGCCGGGCGACGGUUGUCCCGGUUUAAGCGUGUAGGCUGGUUUUCCAGGCAAAUCCGGAAAAUCAAGGCUGAGGCGUGAUGACGAGGCACUACGGUGCUGAAGCAACAAAUGCCCUGCUUCCAGGAAAAGCCUCUAAGCAUCAGGUAACAUCAAAUCGUACCCCAAACCGACACAGGUGGUCAGGUAGAGAAUACCAAGGCGCUUGAGAGAACUCGGGUGAAGGAACUAGGCAAAAUGGUGCCGUAACUUCGGGAGAAGGCACGCUGAUAUGUAGGUGAAGUCCCUCGCGGAUGGAGCUGAAAUCAGUCGAAGAUACCAGCUGGCUGCAACUGUUUAUUAAAAACACAGCACUGUGCAAACACGAAAGUGGACGUAUACGGUGUGACGCCUGCCCGGUGCCGGAAGGUUAAUUGAUGGGGUCAGCGCAAGCGAAGCUCUUGAUCGAAGCCCCGGUAAACGGCGGUACGUAACUAUAACGGUCCUAAGGUAGCGAAAUUCCUUGUCGGGUAAGUUCCGACCUGCACGAAUGGCGUAAUGAUGGCCAGGCUGUCUCCACCCGAGACUCAGUGAAAUUGAACUCGCUGUGAAGAUGCAGUGUACCCGCGGCAAGACGGAAAGACCCCGUGAACCUUUACUAUAGCUUGACACUGAACAUUGAGCCUUGAUGUGUAGGAUAGGUGGGAGGCUUAGAAGUGUGGACGCCAGUCUGCAUGGAGCCGACCUUGAAAUACCACCCUUUAAUGUUUGAUGUUCUAACGUUGACCCGUAAUCCGGGUUGCGGACAGUGUCUGGUGGGUAGUUUGACUGGGGCGGUCUCCUCCUAAAGAGUAACGGAGGAGCACGAAGGUUGGCUAAUCCUGGUCGGACAUCAGGAGGUUAGUGCAAUGGCAUAAGCCAGCUUGACUGCGAGCGUGACGGCGCGAGCAGGUGCGAAAGCAGGUCAUAGUGAUCCGGUGGUUCUGAAUGGAAGGGCCAUCGCUCAACGGAUAAAAGGUACUCCGGGGAUAACAGGCUGAUACCGCCCAAGAGUUCAUAUCGACGGCGGUGUUUGGCACCUCGAUGUCGGCUCAUCACAUCCUGGGGCUGAAGUAGGUCCCAAGGGUAUGGCUGUUCGCCAUUUAAAGUGGUACGCGAGCUGGGUUUAGAACGUCGUGAGACAGUUCGGUCCCUAUCUGCCGUGGGCGCUGGAGAACUGAGGGGGCUGCUCCUAGUACGAGAGGACCGGAGUGGACGCAUCACUGGUGUUCGGGUUGUCAUGCCAAUGGCACUGCCCGGUAGCUAAAUGCGGAAGAGAUAAGUGCUGAAAGCAUCUAAGCACGAAACUUGCCCCGAGAUGAGUUCUCCCUGACUCCUUGAGAGUCCUGAAGGAACGUUGAAGACGACGACGUUGAUAGGCCGGGUGUGUAAGCGCAGCGAUGCGUUGAGCUAACCGGUACUAAUGAACCGUGAGGCUUAACCUU
rnacentral:rRNA from 1 species